rnacentral:rRNA from 1 species
UACAGAGGGUGCGAGCGUUAAUCGGAAUUACUGGGCGUAAAGCGUGCGUAGACGGUUAUUUAAGUCGGGUGUGAAAGCCCCGGGCUCAACCUGGGAAUUGCAUUUGAGACUGCAUAGCUAGGGUGCGGAAGAGGGAAGCGGAAUUUCCGGUGUAGCGGUGAAAUGCGUAGAUAUCGGAAGGAACAUCAGUGGCGAAAGCGGCUUCCUGGUCCAGCACCGACGUUCAGGCACGAAAGCGUGGGGAGCAAACAGG